CAGGCUAAUCUAUUAGUUGGUAUUUUCAUUUACAUUGAAAUAUUUUGUCGUGCAAUUCGGCUUUGUCUGA
rnacentral:tRNA from 1 species